ACGCAUCUAUCUGCUAGACCUGGAGCUGUUACUGUCCGCUGCUAAGGUUUCCACAGCAGAUGCAAGAAAAAUGGGUCCCCACGCUGUCUGUCUGACCGUGGCAGCCAAGAACGAAUGGGGAAUACAGGA